CGGACGGGUGAGUAACGCGUGAGAAUCUGCCUUCAGGAUGGGGACAACAGUGGGAAACUGCUGCUAAUACCCAAUGUGCCGAGAGGUGAAAGUAAUUCGCCUGAAGAGGAGCUCGCGUCUGAUUAGCUAGUUGGUAGAGUAAAAGCCUACCAAGGCGACGAUCAGUAGCUGGUCUGAGAGGAUGAGCAGCCACACUGGGACUGAGACACGGCCCAGACUCCUACGGGAGGCAGCAGUGGGGAAUUUUCCGCAAUGGGCGAAAGCCUGACGGAGCAAUACCGCGUGAGGGAGGAAGGUUCAAGUAAUUGUAAACCUCUUUUCUCAGGGAAGAAAAAAAUGACGGUACCUGAGGAAAAAGCAUCGGCUAACUCCGUGCCAGCAGCCGCGGUAAUACGGAGGAUGCAAGCGUUAUUCGGAAUUAUUGGGCGUAAAGCGUCCGCAGGUGGUGAGACAAGUCCGCCGUUAAAGAAGGGAGCUUAACUCCCAAGAGGCGGUGGAAACUGUAGCACUAGAGACCGGUAGGGGUAGAGGGAAUUCCCAGUGUAGCGGUGAAAUGCGUAGAGAUUGGGAAGAACACCAGUGGCGAAAGCGCUCUACUGGGCCGGAACUGACACUAAGGGACGAAAGCUAGGGGAGCGAAAGGGAUUAGAUACCCCUGUAGUC
rnacentral:rRNA from 1 species